rnacentral:lncRNA from 10 species
GUGGUGGCUCAUGCCUGUAAUUCCAGCACUUUGGGAGGCCGAGGCAGGUGGAUCAUGAGGUCAGGAGUUCGAGACCAGCCUGGCCAACAUAGUAAAACCCUGUCUCUACUAAAAAUACAAAAAUUAGCCAGGCAUGGUGGCAUGCACCUGUAGUCCCAGCUACUUAUGAGGCUGAGGCAGGAGAACUGCUUGAACCUGGGAGGUGGAGGUUGUGGUGAGCUGAGAUCGCGCCACUGCACUCCAGCCUGGGUGAGAGUGACUCUGGUCUUAAAAAAAAAAGAAAAAGAAAAAGAAAAAGAGGAAAAAAAAAGAUGCCCAUGUUACAUUGUUAGUCAUCAGUCACUGUAGAAACCUGCCUGGCAGUUCCUCAAAAUGUUAAACAGAGUUACCAUAUGAUCCAGCAAUUCACUCUUAGGUAAAUGCCUAAGAGAAAUUUAAAAAUAUGCCUACACAAAGACUUGUAUGUGAAUGUUCAUAGCAUUAUUCAUAAUAGCCAAAAAGUAUAAACAACUCAAACGUCUAUCAACUGAUGAAUGGAUAAACAAAAUGUGUUAUAUCCAUGCAAUCCACACAGUAUAUCCAUAGUGACACAUGCCACAACACGGUUGAACCUUGAAAACUUUAUGCUAAGUGAAAGCCAGACACAAAAGUACAUGCAUUGUAUUAUUCCAUUUAUAAGAAAUGUCUGGAAUAGGCAAACCUACAGAGACAAAAAGUAGAUAAAUGGUUGCCAAGGGAUGGAGGGAAGAGGAAAUGAGAAGUGAUUGCUAAUGGUUAUGGGGUUUCUUUUUAGGUAAUGAAGAUGUUCUGGAAUUACAGUACUUACGGUUGCCUAUCUUUCUGUACAAAUAACACAUGGCUUUUGCCUCCUGACUGGAGCCUUUCAGGUAUACAGAGAGCCUACAAUUAGCUGCUGUUCAAGGAUCCAGGUGAGAGACAGGGAGGCUGGGACAGGGGUGAUCGCAGUGAAGAUGAAGAAGGACUGGCCAGAUCUCCAGGACUCAGUGACCAUUGGGAGGGGCUGCCAAGGCAAUAUGCACAGGCCAAAGACACAUUGGAAAAAUAGACAAAAGUGUUAGAAAUUGUUGAAAAGUACCUAUUUUGCCACUCUUAUUUCCAGCAACAGUCUAGAAUUUCUGGACUCCAAGGAAAAAAUACAAGUGGGUUCCAGGCCUGGCACAGUGGCUCAUGCCUCUAAUCCCAGCACUCUGGGAGGCCAAGGUGGGUGGAUCGCCUGAGGUCAGGAGUUCGAGACCAGCCUGGCCAACAUAGUGAAACCCUGUCUCUACUAAAAAUACAAAAAAUUAGCUGGGCAUGGUGGUACACACCUGUAGUCCCACCUACUCGAGAGGCUGGGGCACAAGAAUCGCUGGAACCAGGUGGAGGUUGCAGUGAGCCAGGAUCACACCACUGUACUCCAGCCUGGGUGACAGAGCCAGACUCCAUCUCAAAAAAAAGAGGAAAAAAAAAUACAAGUUGGUUCCUGUUUAAAGAGCUUCAAGAAGUUCUCAGAAAGUAUUCCUCAAGACAGUCCCUGGAGAGGCUGUAUGUGAAGGCCUACAAAGACAGACCUUUACCUCUACAAAGACCCUUUACCUCUCCAGGUUGGAACAAAGCCAUCUGCACUGACUUGGGGUUUCAGCAAUUAUGAAUAAAGCUGCUAUAAAUAUUUGAGUGCAGAUUUUUGUGGACAUAGAUUUUCAACUCAUUUGGAUAAAUACCAAGGAGCACAAUUGCUGGGACAUAUGGAAGCUUCAAAGAAAGUUUAUUCUCUAGCAGUCCAUGGUUGUCUGCCCCACCCUCUUCAGGCUCC